UGACACAUUGGGUACAAAAGAGUAUAUAAGAACGUUAUGUACCUCUAGCUACUUACAAACAAUAGAAUUUUAUGUGCCGCUUAUGUGAGCAUGUGAUCUGUUGCCAAUUCUAUGAUUAAACGCUGACCACGAUACUAACGCAGUGAGUGUAUAAUCAUUACAAGGCAUGCAAUUUAAAAUGAUACCCUCAACUUACUUCUUUUGUAAUGAGUCGGCCAGUUUAAUCUCUCCUGUUCUCCUUUCUGUGACCCAGGACCAAAGGCAACAAACAAUGGACCUACAUAAUUCUAGAUAACACACACCCACAAACUUGUCUGUCCUCACCAAGCCCUCCUAGGACACAGGACAGAAAGAGCACUGGUUGAGUGGCCCAAGUAAACUUGAGCCAGUUAAAACUCGCCCUCACAGGAUUCAUUACUUGCGCAAUGCAAUGGUGUCUUCUUGAUGCUUUACUAUACACAAAAAUUGUCGGCCAAUCGUCAUAAAAAUGUAGAUCUAUUUCCAUGGAGACAGACACACACAUAAAAUGGCGGAUGAAGGCAUCGCUGUUGUUGCUCCUAGCCCUAGACCUACUGCACACACUGACUGUGAUGACCCAGGGCUCACCCUGGAUGUGGACCUCAUGAUAAAUAAACUUUUGGCCCUCAAAGAUAACCCAGGAACACAGGUUUUAUUGCCUGAGAACCAAAUUCAUCAGUUGUGCAGUAAGACUCGAGAAAUAUUCCUCUCCCAGCCGUCUCUCCUGGAGCUAGAUGCCCCCAUUACUAUAGUGGGGGACAUUCACGGACAAUACGCUGACCUGCUCAGGAUCUUUGACAAGACUGGCUACCCACCAGACACCAACUUUCUCUUCUUAGGGGACUAUGUUGAUAGGGGGAGUAUGUCUAUAGAGAGUGUGUGUUUGCUGCUUGCGUACAAGAUUCAGUAUCCUGAGAACGUGUUCCUACUGCGUGGAAAUCACGAGACUGCCAGCAUCAACAGGAUUUAUGGUUUCUAUGAUGAGUGCAAGAGAAGAUACAGCAUAAAGUUGUGGAAAACAUUCUCUGAUUGCUUCAACUGCUUACCUCUGACCGCAGUGGUUGAGAACAAUAUACUGUGUAUGCAUGGUGGACUGUCCCCCGACCUGAAAUCGCUAGACCAAUUGAAGGAGAUAGAGAGACCGCUGGAUGGGCUCAGCGAAGGACUUGUAUGUGAUCUCAUGUGGUCCGAUCCCGAUGAGGACAUUCUUGGCUGGGGUGAGAGUGACAGAGGUGUGUCCUACACCUUUGGUAGGGACAUAGUUCAAGAGUUUAUGGAGACCAACAAGUUGAGCCUCAUCUGCAGGGCCCAUCAAGUCGUGGAGGAUGGAUACGAGUUCUUCACUGGUGACUAUUUUCAGUGCUCCGAACUACUGUGGAGAUUUUGAUAAUGCUGGGGGGAUGCUUAACGUCUCGAAACAGCUCACCUGCUCAUUCUCUAUCAUACCACCUAUCACGUAGCAAGAUUUGAACAUUAUUAUGUGGACAGCAAGCAGUAUGGCUGUAUAAUAUCUUACUCAUCUCACUGCUGCGUGGCAGACCAAUUAUGCUCAUGCUAUGCCAGACAAUUGCUAUUUAUACGAAAUCAAAAC